GCCUGUUUGGCGCAGUGGUAGUCGCGUCUCACUUGUACUCCUAGUUCUACAAGGGAAAUGAGAAGGUCGCUCGUUCAAUCCGGGCAAUAGGCA
rnacentral:tRNA from 1 species